CAAACGGCGCAAUUUCCCACCCGUUUUUGCCGGAUUUUAUGCCCUAGCGGUUUCAUAAAGAAAACGGGGUUGUAUUUUGCGACCGAAAUUCUACUACGUCGACUUUUAUGCCCAACAGCUGUUUUUGGAGAGAAAUGCAGCAGAUCGGUUUCAUAAAACGAUGCAUUUUACACUCAAGUAAUUUUUCAUGUUCUUGAUAUCCCACAAAAUUCUGCGUUGCUCCGAGCUGCAUAAAUUUGACCAAACUUUGACAUCAACAGUUGUCUUGAACGUUGAAGUGUGGAAGUGAAUCGAAUUUUCUACCUAUUUAUUUUGAAAUAACUAUUUGACCAAGAAUCAGGAGCUUUGAAGGCACAAGGCAGUUCACUGGUCUCAAGUCAAAGUUGUCAGUAUUGCGAGUGCAUACCUACAUCAAUUGAAGGUCUUCCAACCAAGAGCGCGCCAGCUGUGACCAGCCAGCUGAUGCAGAGGGCACAUCAGGAGAAGCCGUCCUGGCUCAUCACACAACGGCCGUGCCGUCCGCUGCCGGUUCCGUGUUGGAACCCGGAGCGCUGGAGUGGCCUCCGCGCGCAUCUCUGAACCUCUCCAGCCGCAUCCAGUCACCGGGACCGCGGCCGCCCAUGAGGACGUCAUUAGAGAGCAGAAGGAGCUGCGCGCACGGCUGCAGCAGUUCAUGGGCGGCGGGCGGCGGCGCUGUGGACUCUGCCGAGCACGAGAAGCUGCCGCCCCGACCGAGCUGAGCGGUCCGCUCGCCCUGGCCGAGGUGGCGCGCUAGCAGGCCGCCCAGCGGAUACUGUCGCUGAUCGAGCAGAUCGGCGCCAGCGAGUACGUGGACGGACACGCGGCUCCGCUGCACGUGUGCCAGCACUGCGGCGCCCGCGGCAAGCGCGUCCCAUAAUAGUUGGACCAGACUGUGCAAAACCGCCUAUAUUAAACCGUUUCAGCGUCUGACACUGUGUGAUGGGGCCGGCUGCGUCCCCGACUGGGCGAGUGAACGAUUCGCCUCCGCAGCGGGGCAUAUACUGCUCAAAAUGGUGGGCGAGUCGUCUUCAGCGAGUUUCGAGGAAAUUAUUAGCGUGUUGCCAUGUUGGGGGCGGAUCGGCGUCUGUCUGGGUGGUUACGUUUGGAAUUGUUUCAUUGUUUAUUUUACAUCACAAUGCAUGAAUUUCUUGGUGAUAAACAUAUGCACGGUGUACUUCAUCAGCGACGCCACGACGCACCUGAACGUGCAGUCAGCGGGCGGCUGCGUCCCUUUCCUACCCCACCCGCCAAAGUUUCUGAAAAUGUGCGCUUUGGUCCGGUCGGAAACAAUCCUUGCUUUUACAAAAUUUGUGAUUUAUUCAUUAUUCAUGGCCAGCAAUGACAUAAUUACCUUUUCAUUAGUAGAAUAACAGCUGUUGGAAUUUGCAUCGCAGCUAUCAGAGCGAUUCCGGUUAAACUUCAAACACUUGUCUCAAACGAUCUCAGAUGUGCGGACUAGCAAAUAAAGCAACGACACACCUUC